rnacentral:rRNA from 1 species
AUUGAACGCUGGCGGAAUGCUUUACACAUGCAAGUCGAACGGUAGAGGGGGCAACCCCUCGAGAGUGGCGAACGGGUGAGUAGUAUAUCGGAACGUGCCCAGUCGUGGGGGAUAACGUAGCGAAAGUUACGCUAAUACCGCAUACGAUCUAAGGAUGAAAGCGGGGGAUCGCAAGAACUCGCGCGAUUGGAGCGGCCGAUAUCAGAUUAGGUAGUUGGUGGGGUAAAGGCUCACCAAGCCAACGAUCUGUAGCUUGUCUGAGAGGACGACCAGCCACACUGGAACUGAGACACGGUCCAGACUCCUACGGGAGGCAGCAGUGGGGAAUUUUGGACAAUGGACGCAAGUCUGAUCCAGCCAUUCCGCGUGCAGGAUGAAGGCCCUCGGGUUGUAAACUGCUUUUGUACGGAACGAAAAGGUCUCUCUUAAUACGGGGGACUCAUGACGGUACCGUAAGAAUAAGCACCGGCUAACUACGUGCCAGCCGCCGCGGUAA